UUGGUGAACCAGCGGAGGGAUCAUUACUGAGUUUACGCUCUAUAACCCUUUGUGAACAUACCUAUAACUGUUGCUUCGGCGGGUAGGGUCUCCGCGACCCUCCCGGCCUCCCGCCUCCGGGCGGGUCGGCGCCCGCCGGAGGAUAACCAAACUCUGAUUUAACGACGUUUCUUCUGAGUGGUACAAGCAAAUAAUCAAAACUUUUAACAACGGAUCUCUUGGUUCUGGCAUCGAUGAAGAACGCAGCGAAAUGCGAUAAGUAAUGUGAAUUGCAGAAUUCAGUGAAUCAUCGAAUCUUUGAACGCACAUUGCGCCCGCCAGCAUUCUGGCGGGCAUGCCUGUUCGAGCGUCAUUUCAACCCUCAAGCUCUGCUUGGUGUUGGGGCCCUACAGCUGAUGUAGGCCCUCAAAGGUAGUGGCGGACCCUCCCGGAGCCUCCUUUGCGUAGUAACUUUACGUCUCGCACUGGGAUCCGGAGGGACUCUUGCCGUAAAACCCCCCAAUUUUCCAAAGGUUGACCUCGGAUCAGGUAGGAAUACCCGCCGAAACUUAAGCAUAUCAAU
rnacentral:rRNA from 1 species